GCUGUGGAGCUCUGUUAUACACUCAGACACAUUACUGGGAGUAUUAUUGAUGUGGAGCUCUGUUAUACAAUCAGACAUUACUGGGAGUAUUAUUGCUGUGGAGCUCUGUUAUACACUCAGACACAUUACUGGGAGUAUUAUUGCUGUGGAGCUCUGUUAUACACUCAGACACAUUACUGGGAGUAUUAUUGCUGUGGAGCUCUGUUAUACAAUCAGACAUUACUGGGAGUAUUAUUACUGUGGAGCUCUGUUAUAC